AUUCCGUGCUAGGGAUAGGGAAAUUGCAAUUAUUUCCCUUGAACGAGGAAUUCCCAGUAAGCGCGAGUCAUUAGCUCGCGUUGAUUACGUCCCUGCCCUUUGUACACACCGCCCGUCGCUACUACCGAUUGAAUGGUUUAGUGAGGUCCUCCGAUUGGACCCGGUCCGGGCGGCGACGUCCGAGCCGGCGUCCGAGAAGACGAUCUAACUUGAUCAUUUAGAGGAAGUAAAAGUCGUAACAAGGUUUCCGUAGGUGAACCUGCGGAAGGAUCAUUA
rnacentral:ncRNA from 1 species